CAAGUAGAUAAGAAGAUCAUUCUAAUCAAUGUGGGUGAUGAAAAAAGAGGAAAGAAAAGAUAUAAUUCCUGUCCUUGAGCUCACUGGAAAGGCUGACUGGGAUCAAGCUAUUGGACAAGAGCAUGGAAAAUGGGAUUAUCAAGGACUCCUUGCUCCAUGAUUCCAUCUGGUGUCAUUUUCCUUGUACCAGAAGUAUUUAAUUUGGCAUUUCUCAUGUGCCUGCUAGCUGACUAAUUUCUUUCAGCAUCUGUUUACGGUAAUGUCUUUAUUUUGUUUUUGGUUUUGAAACUUAUACUCAGUGGAUAUAGAAGUAUGUUUUAUUUUCUUUUAAAGAAUUUAAAAAUGUCAUUCUAUUGUCUCUGGCUUCCAUUGUUUUGAGUGACAAGUUUUCUUUCAUUCAGAUUGUUGUUCCACUGUGUGAAAUCUUUUCUUACAUUUUUGCCCCCUUCCCUAAUUUUCUCUUUUAAUUUUCAGAUGUUUGAGUAUAAAAUGUCUAUAUGUGGCUGUCUUUGCAUUUAUUCUAUUUGGGUUGUGGCGAGCUUGUUAGAUCUGUAAUUUGAUAUUUUCUAUCAAAUUUGAAUAAUUUCCUGACCAUUAUUUCUUCAAAUUAAUUUUGCUCCCUAUUUUUCUUUCCUCCUGUUAGCAUUCCAGUUGUCCACAUAUUAUGUUUCUUGUCUCAUAAGUCUCUGAAUCCCUGCUCAUGUUUAUGUGAUCCCUGUGUUUUCUGUACUUCAGUUUGGCUAAUUUCUACAGUUUUGCUUUCAAAUUAUUAUUUUUUCCCCUGUUCUUUCCUAUCUGUUGUUAAGCACAUCCAGUUACUUUUUUAUUGCCUAUGUUUUGUUUCCAGCGCUGGA